AUACGGAGGAUGCGAGCGUUAUCCGGAUUCAUUGGGUUUAAAGGGUGCGCAGGCGGACGGUUAAGUCAGCGGUGAAAAGUAUGCGCUUAACGCAUAUCGUGCCGUUGAAACUGGUCGACUAGGAUGCGGAUGCUGUGGGGGGAAUGCGUAGUGUAGCGGUGAAAUGCAUAGAUAUUACACAGAACACCGAUUGCGAAGGCAUCUCACAAAACCGCGAUUGACGCUGAGGCACGAAAGUGCGGGGAUCGAACAGGAUUAGAUCCCCUGGUAGUCCGCACAGUAAACGAUGAUAACUCGCUGUUGGCUCGCAAGGAGUCAGUGGCCAAGCGAAAGCGAUAAGUUAUCCACCUGGGGAGUACGACCGCAAGGUUGAAACUCAAAUGAAUUGACGGGG
rnacentral:rRNA from 1 species